rnacentral:rRNA from 1 species
GACGAACGCUGGCGGCGUGCCUAACACAUGCAAGUCGAACGGGGUUAAGAGAGCUUGCUUUCUUAACUUAGUGGCGAACGGGUGAGUAACGCGUGAGAAACCUGCCUUUCAGUGGGGGACAACAGUUGGAAACGACUGCUAAUACCGCAUAAUGUGCCGAGGGGGCAUCCUCUUGGUACCAAAGCUUUAUGUGCUGAAAGAUGGUCUCGCGUCUGAUUAGCUAGUUGGUGAGGUAACGGCUCACCAAGGCGACGAUCAGUAGCCGGUCUGAGAGGAUGAACGGCCACAUUGGGACUGAGAUACGGCCCAGACUCCUACGGGAGGCAGCAGUGGGGAAUAUUGGGCAAUGGGGGAAACCCUGACCCAGCAACGCCGCGUGAAGGAAGAAGGCCUUCGGGUUGUAAACUUCUUUUACCAGGGACGAAGAACGUGACGGUACCUGGAGAAAAAGCAACGGCUAACUACGUGCCAGCCGCCGCUGUAAAAC